GACGAACGCUGGCGGCGUGCCUAAUACAUGCAAGUAGAACGCAGUUACCAACGGGUGAGUAACGCGUAGGUAACUGCCUCCUAGCGGGGGAUAACUAUUGGUCACGAUAGCUAAUACCUCAUACUGUGAGAUGGACCUGCGUUGUAGUGGAUAGUUGGUGAGGUAAAGGCUCACCAAGGCGAAGAGACAUAGCCGACCUGAGAGGGUGAUCGGCCACACUGAGACUGAGACCCGGCCCCGACUCCUACGGGUGGCAGCAGUAGGGAAUAGUCGGCAAUGGACUGAAGUCUUACCGAGAAACGCCGCGGUAGUGAAGAGGGUUUUCGGAUCGUAAAGCGCUGUUGUUAUAGAAGAGGUAUCUAACGAGAAAGGGACGGCUAACUACGUGCCAGCCGCCGCGGUAAUUC
rnacentral:rRNA from 1 species